UGGGGAAUAUUGGACAAUGGGCGCAAGCCUGAUCCAGCCAUGCCGCGUGAGUGAUGAAGGCCCUAGGGCUGUAAAGCUCUUUCACCGGUGAAGAUAAUGACGGUAACCGGAGAAGAAGCCCCGGCUAACUUCGUGCCAGCAGCCGCGGUAAUACGAAGGGGGCUAGUGUUGUUCGGAUUUACUGGGCGUAAAGCGCACGUAGGCGGACUUUUAAGUCAGGGGGGAAAUCCCGGGGCUCAACCCCGGAACUGCCUUUGAUACUGGAAGUCUUGGGUAUGGUGGAGGUGGGUGGAAUUCCGAGUGUAGGGGUGGAAUUCGUAGAUAAUUGGAGGGACACCAGUGGCGAAGGGGGCUCACUGGACCAUUACUGACGGUGAAGUGCGUAAGCGUUGGGAGCAAACAGG
rnacentral:rRNA from 1 species